rnacentral:rRNA from 1 species
UACGUAGGGUGCGAGCGUUAAUCGGAAUUACUGGGCGUAAAGCGCACGUAGGCGGCUUAGCAAGUCGGAUGUGAAAUCCCUCGGCUCAACCAAGGAAGUGCAUCCGAAACUGCUGAGCUUGAGUACUUAAGAGGAUCGCGGAAUUCCCGGUGUAGAGGUGAAAUUCGUAGAUAUCGGGAGGAACACCAGUGGCGAAGGCGGCGAUCUGGGAAGAUACUGACGCUGAGGUGCGAAAGCGUGGGUAGCAAACAGG